CUAAACGGGCGACAUUCCUAGUUUAUGCUUGUUUUUUCACCGUAAGGGCUUGAAGACAAGGGCUCCAAGACUUUUAAUGGUAUGCGGUAUGGUAAUUAACACUUUGUUGGCCAUUAACAAGGAAAAAAAAAAGUUUCAUUUCUCUGUUCUGUCUAUUGGAGGGUAAUGAGAUUGUAAAGCAUUUUUUGCGGCAUAUUGUGGCUUCCGGGGACACGACGACGGCUACCCAAGCGAAUUCCCAAGUCUUCCAGCCAUCUCCAGAGUGUGUUCAUUUCCCCAUGUGGAGCAGGAGGGCCGGGGCUGUAGACCCUGCCUUCUCCAGCUGAUUUCUAGAGUACCGGUCUCGGAACGGCUUCCUUCUUUUCCUCCUCCAGCUCUACGAAACGCGCUAAAAUACAGCUGAACUCUCUGGGCUUGGCAGCGAGGACGGGCUCGGGCUGCCAGCUCACCUCUCCCCGGCCAGGACGCAGGCAGGAACAAGAGCAGGGAGAGCCACUUAAGUAGGGAAAAUAACCCACGGGCCUGAGACCCUGGUGGUUUUACAAGGGCAGCUCUAUUCGACUGCGAACAAACUGCCGGUCUCUCCCGUGGCUGCUCGUGCUGACAUGCAGAUGCUGAAUACAGGUGGCCAAACGGGCACUCGAAGGGCACAAGAAGAAUUCACCCCCCUGCUCCCGAGGAGGACAGCCUGGCACUGUGAUUUCAUUAACCUGCGCUGCUGCAGACCUGUACCUAAAGCCACGGCUUCAGAGCAACACCACGUCCAGUCCCGCGGCGGUUAGCCCUGCUUUCGUCGGGCUUGCGCCCCAGGACAAGUUAACAGAAAACAAGUG